rnacentral:lncRNA from 1 species
AAGUAAAUGAUUUUGCUCAAUGUAUCUAUCAAUUUUCCAGUAAUAAAAAUAUUGUAACUUACAAAAUAUAAUAGGAUUAAAAUAUAUGAUCUGGUCGACGGUUAAUGGAUGCAUAGUGCACGAAAAUACAAAUAUUCUAGUUGCAGAGAACAACUUUUCUUUUAAUAAAACCAACCGUAUCUAGCAUAGUUGGUUAAAAACUUGAUGGUUGUUAUCUGAUAUUCCAAGUUUGAAGCCCCGUUACUUUACAUUUCGAGUUGAUUUUAUUUCUAAAAAUAUGAAGAUU